rnacentral:rRNA from 1 species
CGGCAGACGGGUGAGUAACACGUGGGCAACCUACCCCGAGGCGGGGGAUAACCACUGGAAACGGUGGCUAAUACCGCAUGAGACCACGACCCUGCGGGGUCAUGGUUAAAGGCUUCGGCCACCUUGGGAGGGGCCCGCGGCCGAUUAGCUAGUUGGUGAGGUAAUGGCUCACCAAGGCGACGAUCGGUAGCUGGUCUGAGAGGAUGAUCAGCCACACUGGUACUGAGACACGGACCAG